rnacentral:rRNA from 1 species
UACAGAGGGGGCAAGCGUUAUUCGGAAUUAUUGGGCGUAAAGGGCGCGUAGGCGGCUUUGCAAGUGGCGGGUGAAAUCCCUCGGCUUAACCGAGGAACUGCCUGUCAAACUGCAUGGCUUGAGACCAGGAGAGGUGAGUGGAAUUCCCAGUGUAGCGGUGAAAUGCGUAGAUAUCGGGAGGAACACCAGUGGCGAAGGCGGCUCACUGGACUGGUACUGACGCUGAUGCGCGAAAGCCAGGGGAGCAAACGGG